AUGGAUGCCUUCUUAAUCACAGGCUCUGUGGGUAAAGGGAAAGCCUUGCCUGGGCAGCCCCUCCCACCUCCACCCACCCCCUCCAUUGAUUCACAAACCUGGAAUACUCUGGAGGAGGCUGGGAAAGUCCAUCCCCAGGGAAUAUCACUUUUUUCCUCUUCCAUGCCUCUCACAGGACACCCACAAGACCAGGAGGCAGAACGUGAACAGGGAGGUCUUUCUUAUUACUACUUUUUGAGUGUCAGCAAGAAGUCAGGCUGGCCAUGUGACAUUGUUUGGUGUGUAAAGUAUGAACGGAAAAGAUGUGCUACUUCUGGGCAGAGAUUUUCAGAAUUAGCAUGGUAUGUGUCACCAAUUCCCUUUUUUUGUGACACAGUGACUAUAUAAAUAUAUAUAGAAACAUCUCUUCUGUCAGCCUGGAUCCCUUUGUGACUAUGAUGAACUAAGUCUUAUUGUCAGUUUUCAUUGAAUGAGUAACAUGAACACAUAUUUAAUUAUUAUGAUAAACUACUCAGGUAUUAGGGGUUGUCUAUGCAGAAUAACCCAUCCCUUAUUUUUCUUUUUAUGCUAAACCAGUCUUUUUUUUUUAAGGCACUUGUACUUCAUCAUAACACAUUACUUAAUAUUUUUUAUUCUAUAGCUUUAAGUUCCAUUCUACAAAUCCUUUUGUUGAUUAAAAUUUUAAGUUGAAUGUAAUAUGCUGUGUAUUUCUAGGAGGCAAAUCAGGUAAGCAAUACAGCUUACAGAAUAUUUUUAUUAAAAACCUUUUUUUCUAAGAGUCAAAUGAGUGAAAUAAAAAUAAAUAUGUAGUCUCUGUCCUUGUGGGA
rnacentral:lncRNA from 13 species